GUAACGGCGAGUGAAGCGGCAAGAGCUCAAAUUUGAAAGCUGGCUCCUUCGGAGUCCGCAUUGUAAUUUGCAGAGGAUGCUUUGGGUGCGGCCCCCGUCUAAGUGCCCUGGAACGGGCCGUCAGAGAGGGUGAGAAUCCCGUCUUGGGCGGGGUGUCCGUGCCCGUGUAAAGCUCCUUCGACGAGUCGAGUUGUUUGGGAAUGCAGCUCUAAAUGGGUGGUAAAUUUCAUCUAAAGCUAAAUACUGGCCGGAGACCGAUAGCGCACAAGUAGAGUGAUCGAAAGAUGAAAAGCACUUUGAAAAGAGAGUUAAACAGCACGUGAAAUUGUUGAAAGGGAAGCGCUUGCGACCAGACUCGCCCGCGGGGUUCAGCCGGCAUUCGUGCCGGUGUACUUCCCCGUGGGCGGGCCAGCGUCGGUUUGGGCGGCCGGUCAAAGGCCCCUGGAAUGUAGUACCCUCCGGGGUACCUUAUAGCCAGGGGUGCAAUGCGGCCAGCCUGGACCGAGGAACGCGCUUCGGCACGGACGCUGGCAUAAUGGUCGUAAACGACCCGUCUUGAA
rnacentral:rRNA from 1 species